rnacentral:misc_RNA from 1 species
CUGGGAAAUUAUCCACUAUGGCAGCUGUUUUGUGUCGUGUUCACAGUUGACAUGCAAAGGGCUAGGGCUAGCUGCAGCUGCUGUCAAAGAAAUGUGCACCAUGUGAACGUUAGCCAGUUAUUUUUGAAGAGUUGUGACUGACAGCCAAGAUGACCAACUUUAUCCCCAUGGUAUCAUCGUCGCCUCCUCCUCUAGAAGAUGGGGGAGGAGGAGGGUUCAAUGAGUGGGACGAUGAAGAUGAUGACUUUGGAACAUUUGCAACUGCUACAAACGGAAAUGAUUUCCAGGCCUUUUCUGAUCAGUCAUCAGCUGAUCAAUGGAAUAACAUUCCUGAUAUGCCAUCUGUACCUCCAAAUUGUGAAUUCGGAAAAUUUGCAGAUUUUAGCAAUUUUGAAAGUGACUCAAAGAUAGACUGUAUGCAAAAUGGUGACAUGACUCCAGAGGCAGUGGAUAAUGACACGCUCAGUAACGAUUCCAAAGAAGGAGAUAACGAAGAUAAAGGUGAUAGUUCCAAUAAAUCAGGUGGUAUGAAAUUGUCCUUAAAAACGGUGAAUGACUUUGUAAAUAAUGACAAUGUACAAGAAAGCCCAGUAAUGCCUUGUGAUGACAGUGAUCAGCAGAAAAAAAUGCACAAAAGUCAGUCAGACAAUCUGGACAGCAUCAGUAGUGUGAUAUCUGCAGGGGACUCGGGACUGUGUAGUACUGACAUAUCACCCGUCCCUCAGUCAGACGACAAUGUCGGACCAGAGGACAACAGUCAGGAAUCUGAUCCCGAUGACUUUGGCGAUUUCCAUUCUGAUUCCUCUGUAGGGAAAGAGGCCUUAAGAGGCAGCACAGAAAACAUGGAAGUGAUAGAAGAAUGUGGAGGAAAUGUUUCAAUGGUUAACAGUGAAAACAAUGACAGCAGUGCAAAUUCUAAUAACCAAGUAGCAAACGGGAUGGGACCUGAAAGUGUCGAGGACCGAGAAAUUAGAACUAGUCAAUUAAAUGGAGACAGUAACUGUGAUUCUGUAUCAGAACAGGAAGUACAUGAGCGUGUGUCACCUUUAAGUCACUGUGAGAAUACAAACCAGUACAACAGUCGCACCUCACCUAUUGACAAAGAUGACCAUUCUAAAAAGGAGGAGUCCUUAUGUCCAGAAGAAACAGAUGAAGAAAGAUGGGCCGAAGGUCCAGAUACAGAAGACAGAUUGGGCAUUGGUCAGAGUCCUGACGCAGGGAAAGAGAAUCAGAAGGCAGUUGUUGACAUAGAGGAGAGGUGUCUGGUAGUUGAUCCAGACACUGUAGAGGAUACAAAAAAUGUUCAAGACCAAUCUAACACAGACAAUAGACAUCAUUGUGGGAAUGUUGUUUCUGAUGAAACGAAGGAAGAAUGUCAUAACGAGAUUGACAGUGAAAAAAGUGAACUUGUAAGGACAUGUAGUGCUAUUAAGGCAGUGGCAGAACGAGAUGUUAACCAUGAGUCCACCAUGAUAACUUUGAAACAUUCUGAUGCCCCAGUAUGUGAUGAAGCUGAGGACGAUAAAACAUUCCAUGAAGUGGAUGACAAUGAAACAGAUUGUGGAGGCACUGAACAAUUGCAAGACAUGAAAGAUUCUGGAUUCGUUUUUGCGGAUUUAAGUUCGUCAGAAGAGGAGAACUGUGAAAAGAAAGAGCAGGAGCCUGAAGCCAAACUCGACGAAAACUGUGAUAUUUCUAAGCAAACUGUCGAUAAUAAUGAAGACUUUAAUGUGAUUGACAAUGAAGAGUGGUGUGAAGAUUCUGUUUCUCCUGGAAGUAAAGAAGUACAGGCGACUGAGAAUGACAUCAUUAAACCACAACCCUGUCCUGGUUCAGAUGAUGAGUUUGAUGACUUUGCUGACUUCAGUUCAGCUCCUUCAUUCAGUGUACAAGAAGGAUGUGAGGUCAAGUCAGGUGAUGUUUCUGUAAAUGAAAGAUCACCAUCAACAAUUAAUGAACAAAAAUCAGCUGUUCAGGACAUAAACUAUGAAGAUGAGGAAGAAUUUGAUGAUUUUGCAGAUUUUCAUAGCAGUAAACCUGUAGAAUUAGAUAUCCAGCUAUCCAAGCCAUUGCCACAGGAAGUUACAGGUGGCAAUGAAAAAUCAGAAAGUUUGGAUGGUGACUCAGGAAAUUGUAAUAAAGAUGAUGUUGACGAUGAUUCUGAUAGUUUUGCUAAUUUUGGUACAUCGUUUACUUCUAAAUCAAGUGAAAAUAAUUCAGGUACAAGUGCAGUUGUUACUGAUGAGACUAAAUCUGGAUCAGACAGCUUUGCUGCAUUUCCUUCAGCAUCUGCAGCUGAUGGUGAUCAUGACGAUGAAGAUGAUUGGGCAACAUUCCAAGCGCCACCUACACUGGACCAGGUUGGUGCUGGCAGUAAUGACGAUGAGGACUUUGGAGAAUUUGAGGACUUUGACAAUGCUGGAAAACCCAAGGGUUCCUCGACCAGUAGUGCUGGGGACUUUGCCACCUUCAAACAGCCUGAACCAGUAGCGGUAAAGCCAGUAGAAAAGCGUACGUCACGUGAAGUGAUCAACUGUUGUUUUCCUGAAUGUGAUGGGACAGACCUGGAUGACUCUGCAACCAAUAAAAUGCCUCUCCUUCUGGACGACUGUUUUAAUGGGGAUGUGGCUGUGGAGGAUAAAACUACAACUGGACCACUGAUAUGGCUCAAGUUGAAGUCUCCCAAUAGUACCAUAGAGAUAUCCAAGUUGUGGUCUGAUUCUCACAGCAAUGGCAAACUGUUUACCACACUACGCAUAGACACCCGCAAUAUUCUGUUAGGUCACCGGAAGCCAUCAGUUCCCGUGUAUGCUGCCAAUCUGACCCUGCUGGAGCCUACCAAGGGCCCCACACCUCCGUCCGAGACGGCAGACACCAACAAACUUGUGGACAUGACAAAGGUCGAUGACAAGCCAGCCAGUCAGCCAACAGUAAAAGCCUUGAAUUGGAUUUUUUAGUUGUCAAAGAAGCAGAAGCGGUCGCGAAGAUGGGAGAUGAGUGGGAUUGGGUUUUCGACUCCGAGUUGAUGCAUGGCCAGCGUGAU